rnacentral:misc_RNA from 1 species
GAUGAAGAACGUAGCGAAAUGCGAUAAGUAAUGUGAAUUGCAGAAUUCAGUGAACCAUCGAAUCUUUGAACGCACAUUGCGCCCGGCAGUAAUCUGCCGGGCAUGCAUGUCCGAGCGUCAUUUCUGCCCUCGAGCGAGUCCAGCAUCUAGGUGCUGGGCCCGCCCGGCGUUGGGGCACUACGGGAAGCCCUGUGCUGUCCCCCGUAGGCCCCGAAAUGAAGUGGCGGUCCUGCCGCGGCGCCCCCUGCGUAGUAUAACAGCUCGCUUCGGGACCCGGUGGAGGCCUGCCGUCAAACCUUACUCUCUAAGUUUGACCUCGGAUCAGGUAGGGUUACCCGCUGAACUUAAGCAUAUCAAUAAGCGGAGGA